ACGUCUACAUUAGACUACCCCGUAGUCCCAGCCGUAAACUAUGCGCGUUAGGUGUAUCGGUGACCACGAGUCACCGAGGUGCCGAAGGGAAACCGUGAAACGUGCCGCCUGGGAAGUACGGUCGCAAGGCUGAAACUUAAAGGAAUUGGCGGGGAGCACCACAACGGGUGGAGCCUGCGGUUUAAUUGGACUCAACGCCGGGAAGCUCACCGGAUAAGACAGCGGAAUGAUUGCCGGGCUGAAGACUCUGCAUGACUAGCUG
rnacentral:rRNA from 1 species